UGCUUCACAGAAAGAGAACUGCCUCUGAAGU
rnacentral:piRNA from 1 species